rnacentral:lncRNA from 1 species
GAAUCAUUUUGCGAUGUCGAUGUUGGACAAGCGAGCAAUCCAGAGGUCAGAAAAUGUUUGCAACUCGUGUCAGAUAAACAAUGAAACAAAAACGACUAUGUCUAAGGGUACUAUUUGUGAAGAGGCAUUUUGUGAGCAGUGUGAAAAAUGUCAUAAAAAUGUAUAAAAAUUGGUUUCAUACAUUAAAACAGCAGAAAAACCAGAAACAUGGGCUUCCACAUUACCGACGAACCAUUUUGUGAUGUCAAUGUUGGACAAGCGAUCAAUC